rnacentral:rRNA from 1 species
UGAUGGACACGCCGCGUGAGCGAUGAAGGCCUUCGGGUCGUAAAGCUCUGUUGUUAGGGAAGAACAAGUACCGGAGUAACUGCCGGUACCUUGACGGUACCUAACCAGAAAGCCACGGCUAACUACGUGCCAGCAGCCGCGGUAAUACGUAGGUGGCAAGCGUUGUCCGGAAUUAUUGGGCGUAAAGCGCGCGCAGGCGGUCCUUUAAGUCUGAUGUGAAAGCCCACGGCUCAACCGUGGAGGGUCAUUGGAAACUGGGGGACUUGAGUGCAGAAGAGGAAAGCGGAAUUCCACGUGUAGCGGUGAAAUGCGUAGAGAUGUGGAGGAACACCAGUGGCGAAGGCGGCUUUCUGGUCUGUAACUGACGCUGAGGCGCGAAAGCGUGGGGAGCAAACAGGAUUAGAUACCCUGGUAGUCCACGCCGUAAACGAUGAGUGCUAAGUGUUAGAGGGUUUCCGCCCUUUAGUGCUGCAGCAAACGCAUUAAGCACUCCGCCUGGGGAGUACGGCCGCAAG